UAUAAAGGCGGCAUCGCUGCGGUAGUUGAUAGUGACACUGAGGCAUUGUGGUCUGAGGAGCCGACGAAACGAACACGAGCAGCGCCCAAUGCGCAAUAAUGCAUCCCUAAAUCAGCCAGUGUUUUCAUUUAUUGUGAGGACAGGGAAAUAUUAACGUUCAUUUGCUUUCGCUCGCCACUUUUAAGCAGAACAGAUGCCUGCACUUCGCAUCACGACAAUGAUCGCGCGAGGAUGCGCUGCUCUCCUGCUCCUGGUGAAUAUUGUCAUCUCUGCACCAGUCUCUCCAGGUCACAUGGAAGAGAAGGAUGUGAAGGUGAUGAAGUGUAUUGUGGAGGUGAUUGCAGAUGCUCUGUCUAAGCCUCAUCCAAUCCCAGUGUCCCAGGACUGCCUUGAAACCCUCAGCAC